rnacentral:miRNA from 16 species
CUCAUCACACCGGAAGCUGUUA